UACGGAGGGAGCUAGCGUUGUUCGGAAUUACUGGGCGUAAAGCGCGCGUAGGCGGCUUUGUAAGUUAGAGGUGAAAGCCCGGAGCUCAACUCCGGAACUGCCUUUAAAACUGCAUCGCUUGAAUCCAGGAGAGGUGAGUGGAAUUCCGAGUGUAGAGGUGAAAUUCGUAGAUAUUCGGAAGAACACCAGUGGCGAAGGCGGCUCACUGGCCCGGUACUGACGCUGAGGUGCGAAAGCGUGGGGAGCAAACAGG
rnacentral:rRNA from 1 species